rnacentral:lncRNA from 1 species
GAAGAGUGUUCCUUACUAACAUCUUACUCUGUCUGGUCUUUUAUAAUUUUUAAAUUCCUUCCUAUGAAAUCCAUAGCCGCCAGUGGAUUUCAGGGAUGGAGGUACUGUUAGGUCACAAGACAAAAGGCAGCAGCAGCAGCAGCAGGGUCAGACAAGGCCUGGUUUUGACCUGCUCAAGAAGCCUGUGGCUAUGCAGAAACUUGGCAGCCACGGAGCUUUUGUGGGUGAAUCACAGGAUUCUCUUAGAUCAGAAAUAUGCCGUCUCUCUUGUCUGGCCUGAGCAUCCACAGAGAAGCUGGCUGGAGUACAGGCUGUCUGUCAAAGGAGACUCAAGCAGGGACUUACCAUGCAGGCCUCUAGGAAUCCAAACCUGAGCCACCAUUACAGGGCCUGGAUGCUCUUCUCUUUAAACAGUAUGAUUACUGCCAAGGGCAGCCUCUUGUGGACCAAGAACUCAAGAUCCAUUUCUCCUGCAGAUGUCAGUUUGCAAGCCGGACGUCAACCCCUCCUCACCCUGCAGGCCCACAGUGCCUUCGUCCUCCUAGACACGGGAUCUUACAGUUCUUUACAGCUCUCUACCAGCCCAGAGCACACUUGUUUUCCAAGCAUCACUUGUUCUUAAGUUCACACACAGACACACACAGACAAACACAGACAAACACAGACAGGCACACAAACACACACAUACACACACAUACAGAAAAGCAGACACACAGAGAGACUCAGACACACACACAAAAACACACACAGACAGAAAGAUGGAUACACACAUGAAACAGAUACAGACAGGCAAACACACACACACACUU